UGGAUUUCCAGGUGCUUGCAUCUUUACAGCCCAACAGUCCACUUGAGACACUGAUCUGUGUGAGUGUCUGGCCUGGAGUUUAAUAAUACCCAAUCUAAAAUACAGUGGGAACUUCACCAGACUCCCAUGACUUCUCAAAUAUGUGGCUUAGCCACUUCAUCUGCCAGUUCCCUCAGGACUUGCAGAUGAAUCCCAUUUGGUUGCAUGGACUUGGGCACCUUAUGGAAUUCAAGAGGUACCUAACUAAAAUGAAUAUUUUUGAAGGAAUAGUGAAUGUGAAAAAGGCUAACUGAAUUGGCUCUUUGGUUAAAGAAAACUGUCUCCAUAGCUCACCUUCAGGCAGCAGACCCACAUUUACCUCUGCCUUGCUGCAAAUGAAGUAAGGAGUGUGGCUGAAUGAGGUAAGCACUGGACUACUGUGUUGCUCCUUGUCUUUUGCUCCUCCAUCCCAACUACUCCACCUCUUGUUACUAACUAAAUGUCUUUGCAUUGGAGGAAAAGUUCCAAGAUAGACUGCCAGCCCACCAGGCAACCAGCUCAGGUGGGAUGUGGGAGGCCAGGGUCCUAAGGCUGCUCCAGUGACAGUCUCGUGUAGCUGUUCUUCAGUGCAGGGGCUAUGAUUAGCCUCGCCUAGGCUUGAGCCUUCUGGCAGUGGUUUAGCAGCUGGACAAUGGCCAUCCAGGGACUUGGCUACACAAAGUAGUAUGUCCUGGCUGACUGCCCCUAUCUGAAGGCUAGUGUGGAACAGGCCAGCCUUGCUUGUGUAUGGAAAAACUUACACAGGGCUGGUUUCCUUUUGCUGCAGAGUGGGAAAAUUUGUGGAAUCUUAGUUAAAUUUGUGGGAUAGGAAAAAGGGAAAGCCAGCAAG